rnacentral:lncRNA from 1 species
GUUCUCCUAAUGCACGCUCAGUCAGGCAGCAUCGGUGGCUGCAACGUCUGAUUGAUAAGAUUUUACCCUCGCUAAAUCUGAUCAUAAUUGCUUAUGUUAUUACUAUAGCCCAGGGAUGUGGAGAAUGGACAGCUGUAAUUUGCAAUAUGAGGAAUGUGACAUGUGACUGGCAAUGUGGGACAAGAAGAGAGUAUACUAAUGUCAGGUUUGUCUGAGGAUUAUAUUCGACAUCUGCAUGUCCGUCUGUCUGCUACUUGUGGAGAGACUAUUUGAAAAACAGUAGGAUAGAAAACAGUCUCUCAUCUUACAUCGGUGUUAAUUCUGCAUGUUGUGUUCUGUGCAUGCUGUCAUGCCAUGGGCUUUCUGCCUCAGUGUCCCUGACUCUAUGUGUUUUCCUUAUAAAAUGUAUGGAUGAGGGGCUAGUGUUAGACUACUCUGUAUAGCUGAACGUGAUGCAGUGGCAUUGUAAUGGCGUUUUCCAUAACCUAUGUACAGUAUGCUUCCCAUUGUAUCCAUGCAUCAUGCCUCAGAAGUGUUGCUGUACUACGUCUUAUGAGCAUGUAAAUGUAUAAGCAUACGGUAUCUUGAAUAUAAAGAAACCUUCUAAUAGUCACCCCCCUCCUCUCAUCCACUCAAGCACAAGUGCAUGCUCAAUCACACACAUGCAAGCAGCACAUUCACACGCCAAUAGCAACCCACAAUCAUUCAAAAACACACUGACUUACCACCCAACUGCCAACCCACAAUCAUUUCAAAACACACUGACUUACCACCCAACUGCCAACCCACAAUCAUUUCAAAACACACUGACUUACCACCCAACUGCCAACCCACAAUCAUUUCAAAACAUACUGACUUACCACCCAACUGCCAACCCACAAUAAUUUCAAAACACACUGACUUACCACCCAACUGCCAACCCACAAUCAUUUCAAAACACACUGACUUACCACCCAACUGCCAACCCACAAUCAUUUCAAAACACCCUGACUUACCACCCAACUGCCAACCCACAAUCAUUUCAAAACACACUGACUUACCACCCAACUGCCAACCCACAAUCAUUUCAAAACACACUGACUUACCACCCAACUGCCUCCUAUAGUAGUACUCACUUGCCAUAUUCUUGUGAACUGUUUUGAUAUACCAUGAAUGAUAUAUACUAGUGUAAUGCGUGACACGACCAUUGGCUUUACCUACACAAGAAAUUGAUAGUUUCCUAAAAGAGAGGUCUGUUGGGAAGUGUAGUCUAUCUCUGCUGAAGGAACUAGUAAAUAUGACUUAGCAGAGGUUGGGAAGUGUAGUCUAUCUCUGCUGAGAGAACUAGUAAAUAUGACUUAGCAGAGGUUGGGAAGUGUAGUCUAUCUCUGCUGAAGGAACUAGUAAAUAUGACUUAGCAGAGGUUGGGAAGUGUAGUCUAUCUCUGCUGAGAGAACUAGUAAAUAUGACUUAGCAGAGGUUGGGAAGUGUAGUCUAUAUCUGCUCAGGGAACUUGUAAAUAUGACUUAGCAGAGGUUCGGAAGUGUAGCCUACAUACAGUACAGGCUGUGUCCUUCCCUCUCUAUAUCUGUAGUGUAGUUCAGAAGAGAGGUAUGCAUUGUUUCAGUGAGGUAGGCUUAUCUCCCUGACACCCUGCACUCGUAGUUCCCUCCUCUUAUUGCUUUAGGAUGGAAACAUACCCAGCUAUGAGGUCAGAAUGACCUUGAGGAGAGAGAGAGAUCCCCUGUCCCCUCCCGCUCAAGGCUUACAAUGUUGUCACCUCUGCCCUUGUAGAAUGUAUCAAGAAGUCACCUUUUACAGUAUACAGUAUAUACUGUAUUCUCCUCUUUGGUCUGUCUGUCUAGGAGAGGAAUACAAACCCUACCAGAUAGCUGUAGUGUUUAGCCCUGUGUCAAGUGGGAGGACAAAGUACUUCCCAUUUAAAUAUUAGUUGGACAUUCUUGCAGUAGAAGCAUAGCCUCUAUGAUUUAAUGUAUUUUAUCUCUGCAUCUCAAGAGUCACCUUGGAUUUGUAUCAUCUCUCCGGUCUGUUUGACAAAGUGUGUGUGUGUGUGUGUGUGUGUGUGUGUGUGUGUGUGUGUGUGUGUGUGUGUGUGUGUGUGUGUGUGUGUGUGUGUGUGUGUGUGUGUGUGUGUGUCUGUGUGUGUGUGUGUUUGUAACAAAGAGAGAAGGAACAGUAGGAUGUAACACUAACAAAGAGAGAAAUCCUUGGUUGCAACAAAUAGAGAAAGAGAGAGCAGUAGGGUGGAACAGAAAGAGAGAGCAGUAGGGUGGAACAGAAAGAGAGAGCAGUAGGGUGGAACAAAAAGAGAGAGCAGUAGGGUGGAACAGAAAGAGAGAGCAGUAGGGUGGAACAGAAAGAGAGAGCAGUAGGGUGGAACAGAAAGAGAGAGCAGUAGGGUGGAACAAAAAGAGAGAGCAGUAGGGUGGAACAAAAAGAGAGAGCAGAAGGGUGGAACAAAAAGAGAGAGCAGUAGGGUGGAACAGAAAGAGAGAGCAGUAGGGUGGAACAGAAAGAGAGAGCAGUAGGGUGGAACAGAAAGAGAGAGCAGUAGGGUGGAACAGAAAGAGAGAGCAGUAGGGUGGAACAGAAAGAGAGAGCAGUAGGAUGGAACAGAAAGAAAGAGCAGUAGGGUGGAACAGAAAGAGAGAGCAGUAGGGUGGAACAGAAAGAGAGAGCAGUAGGGUGGAACAGAAAGAGAGAGCAGUAGGGUGGAACAAAAAGAGAGAGCAGUAGGGUGGAACAGAAAGAGAGAGCAGUAGGAUGGAACAGAAAGAGAGAGCAGUAGGGUGGAACAAAAAGAGAGAGCAGUAGGGUGGAACAAAAAGAGAGAGCAGUAGGGUGGAACAGAAAGAGAGAGCAGUAGGAUGGAACAGAAAGAGAGAGCAGUAGGGUGGAACAGAAAGAGAGAGCAGUAGGGUGGAACAGAAAGAGAGAGCAGUAGGAUGGAACAGAAAGAGAGAGCAGUAGGGUGGAACAGAAAGAGAGAGCAGUAGGGUGGAACAGAAAGAGAGAGCAGUAGGGUGGAACAGAAAGAGAGAGCAGUAGGGUGGAACAGAAAGAGAGAGCAGUAGGGUGGAACAGAAAGAGAGAGCAGUAGGGUGGAACAGAAAGAGAGAACGUAUCUCAUAGGCUGUCCUAAUUAAGAGUAGCUCAGAGGGUUUGAACCAGAUAAUCUUACAUAACCUCGUUAAAGAGCACACAGCCUUUGAUACUGAGAAGAUGAGAAUGAUGUUCCCUCUGAGACCCAGCAUACCAUGAAGCCCCACGAUGUAGAGCUGAGGUAUAGGACAAGAUUACAUACCCUGGUCCACGGUAUAGGACAAGAUUACAUACCCUGGUCCACGAUGUAGAGCUGAGGUAUAGGACAAGAUUACAUACCCUGGUCCACAGUAUAGGACAAGAUUACAUACCCUGGUCCAUGAUGUAGAGCUGAGGUAUAGAACAAGAAAGAUUACAUACCCUGGUCCACGGUAUAGAGCUGAGGUAUAGAACAAGAUUACAUACCCUGCCCCAAGGUGUAGAGCUGAGGUAUAGGACAAGAUUACAUACCCUGGUCCACGAUGUAGAACAAGAUUACAUACCCUGGUCCAUAGUACAGAACAAGAUUACAUACCCUGGUCCACAGUGUAGAACAAGAUUACAUACCCUGCCCCGAGGUGUAGAGCUGAGGUUUAGGACAAGAUUACAUACCCUGCUAUGGAGCUAUAGUGUAAAUCCCAAAUGGCACCCUAUUCCCUUUAUAGUGCACUACUUUUGACCAGAGCCCUAUAGGUAGUGCACUAUAUAGGGGAUAAGGUGCCAUUUGGGGUGCAGACAUAGUGUAAUGGAGCAGAGACACAGGUAAUCCCAUGAUAUGGAGCUGAGGUAUAGGAUGAGAUAAUAAACAAUACAUAUAUCCAGUGUGUUUGAUGAGUUUAGCAUCCAGGUAAACAUACACAAUGUCAUUGUAGUGCACUGGCCAGGGGUUAGAUGAGGUACAGGUAUUUGGGAGAAUCUAGUAAAGAGCAUGGUUAUUAUUUUAUUUCCUGCCAUGAUCACUGGUCAUUAUGCACCAAGUUUAGUUGAAGGAGGAACUAUUUUGGAAAAGGAUUUUGCCUGUGAGGUUAUAAGGUCCCAAAAAAAAUUAUUAACAAAGUGUUUAUAUGAUCUGUUUUAUGUUUCUUGUUGGAAGAAACAGGAAGUGGGUUGCACGUAAAGUACAGUAUUUUUGUAAGUAAGUAGUUGUGCUAUUUUUGCAUCUAUUGAUUAGUCGUGUAUUAUGUAUUUGGUAGGGACAAUGCAUGUGUGUCCUUAAUGUAAUACUGUGAAGUAUGUCAUGUAAUGUAAGUAUGUAAUGUAAUAUUGUGAAGUAUGUAAUUUCACAAAAAAUUAUUAUUCUGUUUCUGUUUUCUUUCA